CUACACAUGCAGUCGACGAAGUAGCAAUACUUAGUGGCAGACGGGUGAGUAACAUGUGGGUAUCUACCCUUUGGCCUGGAAUAACACGAGGAAACUUGUGCUAAUACCGGAUAAGUCUUUACGGAGAAAGCUUUAUGCACCAUUGGAUGAGCCCGCACUUGAUUAGUUUGUUGGUAGGGUAAUGGCCUACCAAGACUAUGAUCAAUAGCUGAUUUGAGAGGAUGAUCAGCCACAUUGGGACUGAGACACGGCCCAAACUCCUACGGGAGGCAGCAGUGGGGAAUCUUGCACAAUGGAGGAAACUCUGAUGCAGCGAUGCCGCGUGAGUGAAGAAGGCCUUUGGGUUGUAAAGCUCUUUCGUCGGGGAAGAAAAUGACUGUACCCGAAUAAGAAGGUCCGGCUAACUUCGUGCCAGCAGCCGCGGUAAUACGAAGGGACCUAGCGUAGUUCGGAAUUACUGGGCUUAAAGAGUUCGUAGGUGGUUGAAAAAGUUGGUGGUGAAAUCCCAGAGCUUAACUCUGGAACUGCCAUCAAAACUUUUCAGCUAGAGUAUGAUAGAGGAAAGCAGAAUUUCUAGUGUAGAGGUGAAAUUCGUAGAUAUUAGAAAGAAUACCAAUUGCGAAGGCAGCUUUCUGGAUCAUUACUGACACUGAGGAACGAAAGCAUGGGUAGCGAAGAGGAUUAGAUACCCUCGUAGUCCAUGCCGUAAACGAUGUGUGUUAGACGUUGGAAAUUUAUUUUCAGUGUCGCAGGGAAACCGAUAAACACACCGCCUGGGGAGUACGACCGCAAGGUUAAAACUCAAAUGAAUUGACGGGGACCCGCACAAGUAGUGGAGCAUGUGGUUUAAUUCGAAGAUACGCGCAGAACCUUACCAACACUUGACAUGUUCGUCGCGACUCUAGAGAUUAGAGUUUUCGGUUCGGCCGGACGAAACACAGGUGCUGCAUGGCUGUCGUCAGCUCGUGUCGUGAGAUGUGGGUUAAGU
rnacentral:rRNA from 1 species